rnacentral:rRNA from 1 species
AUUGAACGCUGGCGGCAUGCUUUACACAUGCAAGUCGAACGGUAACAGGCCGCAAGGUGCUGACGAGUGGCGAACGGGUGCGUAAUGCAUCGGAACGUGCCCAGUCGUGGGGGAUAACUACUCGAAAGAGUAGCUAAUACCGCAUACGAUCUAUGGAUGAAAGCGGGGGACCGUAAGGCCUCGCGCGAUUGGAGCGGCCGAUGUCAGAUUAGGUAGUUGGUGGGGUAAAGGCUCACCAAGCCAACGAUCUGUAGCUGGUCUGAGAGGACGACCAGCCACACUGGGACUGAGACACGGCCCAGACUCCUAUGGGAGGCAGCAGUGGGGAAUUUUCGACAAUGGGCGCAAGCCUGAUCCAGCAAUGCCGCGUGCAGGAAGAAGGCCUUCGGGUUGUAAACUGCUUUUGUACGGAACGAAACGGCUCUGGUUAAUACCCGGGGCUAAUGACGGUACCGUAAGAAUAAGCACCGGCUAACUACGUG